GACGAACGCUGGCGGCGUGCUUAACACAUGCAAGUCGAACGGUGAACCAGAGCUUGCUCUGGGGAUCAGUGGCGAACGGGUGAGUAACACGUGGGCAACCUGCCCCAGACUCUGGGAUAACCUCGGGAAACCGAUGCUAAUACCGGAUACGACCACUUCGGACAUCCGACGGUGGUGGAAAGUUUUUCGGUCUGGGAUGGGCCCGCGGCCUAUCAGCUAGUUGUGGGGUAAUGGCCUACCAAGGCGACGACGGGUAGCCGGCCUGAGAGGGCGACCGGCCACACUGGAACUGAGACACGGUCCAGACUCCUACGGGAGGCAGCAGUGGGGAAUAUUGCACAAUGGGCGAAAGCCUGAUGCAGCGACGCCGCGUGAGGGACGACGGGCCUUCGGGUUGU
rnacentral:rRNA from 1 species